rnacentral:misc_RNA from 1 species
UUCGGUGACAACCCACUUACCAGGUAAUACAACUUUAGAUAUUAAAAAUUACAUUAUUUUGCUCGCCAGUGUUUUGUCUAUGAUUUCAACAACUCAGAUGUAGAAAAUCCCUUAGCUGUGUGUCAUCAUAUGGGAUUUUCUUUGUUCAUGUAUUAAGUACUUUUGCUGAAGAGUUGACUGCUAUAGUUGAUUCUAUUCACAAUAGACUAGGUUUUCUUGCAUUCUAUAAGUUUCUAUAUUCUUGUUGUCUUUUCUGUUUUUUUAAGGUUCGAAGCUGCUUAAUUAGGAUAUUGUAUGUUGGAAAAGAUAUUUUGUUUAGAUUUAUUUAUUUG